UUUUUGUUUUUUUUUUGGGGAGUAAAGUCGUAACAAGGUUUCCGUAGGUGAACCUGCGGAAGGAUCAUUACCGAGUGAGGGCCCUCUGGGUCCAACCUCCCACCCGUGUCUAUCGUACCUUGUUGCUUCGGCGGGCCCGCCGUUUCGACGGCCGCCGGGGAGGCCUUGCGCCCCCGGGCCCGCGCCCGCCGAAGACCCCAACAUGAACGCUGUUCUGAAAGUAUGCAGUCUGAGUUGAUUAUCGUAAUCAGUUAAAACUUUCAACAACGGAUCUCUUGGUUCCGGCAUCGAUGAAGAACGCAGCGAAAUGCGAUAAGUAAUGUGAAUUGCAGAAUUCAGUGAAUCAUCGAGUCUUUGAACGCACAUUGCGCCCCCUGGUAUUCCGGGGGGCAUGCCUGUCCGAGCGUCAUUGCUGCCCUCAAGCACGGCUUGUGUGUUGGGCCCCCGUCCCCCUCUCCCGGGGGACGGGCCCGAAAGGCAGCGGCGGCACCGCGUCCGGUCCUCGAGCGUAUGGGGCUUUGUCACCUGCUCUGUAGGCCCGGCCGGCGCCAGCCGACACCCAAACUUUAUUUUUCUAAGGUUGACCUCGGAUCAGGUAGGGAUACCCGCUGAACUUAGCAU
rnacentral:rRNA from 1 species